rnacentral:rRNA from 1 species
UGGGGAAUAUUGCACAAUGGGCGCAAGCCUGAUGCAGCCAUGCCGCGUGUAUGAAGAAGGCCUUCGGGUUGUAAAGUACUUUCAGCGGGGAGGAAGGGAGUAAAGUUAAUACCUUUGCUCAUUGACGUUACCCGCAGAAGAAGCACCGGCUAACUCCGUGCCAGCAGCCGCGGUAAUACGGAGGGUGCAAGCGUUAAUCGGAAUUACUGGGCGUAAAGCGCACGCAGGCGGUUUGUUAAGUCAGAUGUGAAAUCCCCGGGCUCAACCUGGGAACUGCAUCUGAUACUGGCAAGCUUGAGUCUCGUAGAGGGGGGUAGAAUUCCAGGUGUAGCGGUGAAAUGCGUAGAGAUCUGGAGGAAUACCGGUGGCGAAGGCGGCCCCCUGGACGAAGACUGACGCUCAGGCGCGAAAGCGUGGGGAGCAAACAGG